GGUUAAGCGACUAAGCGUACACGGUGGAUGCCUAGGCAGUCAGAGGCGAUGAAGGGCGUGCUAAUCUGCGAAAAGCGUCGGUAAGGUGAUAUGAACCGUUAUAACCGACGAUACCCGAAUGGGGAAACCCAGUGCAAUUCGUUGCACUAUUGCAUGGUGAAUACAUAGCCAUGCAAGGCGAACCGGGGGAACUGAAACAUCUAAGUACCCCGAGGAAAAGAAAUCAACCGAGAUUCCCCCAGUAGCGGCGAGCGAACGGGGAGGAGCCCAGAACCUGAAUCAGCGUAUGUGUUAGUGGAAGCGUCUGGAAAGUCGCACGGUACAGGGUGAUAGUCCCGUACACAAAAAUGCAUAUGUUGUGAGUUCGAUGAGUAGGGCGGGACACGUGACAUCCUGUCUGAAUAUGGGGGGACCAUCCUCCAAGGCUAAAUACUCCUGACUGACCGAUAGUGAACCAGUACCGUGAGGGAAAGGCGAAAAGAACCCCGGCGAGGGGAGUGAAAUAGAACCUGAAACCGUGUACGUACAAGCAGUGGGAGCACCUUCGUGGUGUGACUGCGUACCUUUUGUAUAAUGGGUCAGCGACUUAUAUUUUGUAGCAAGGUUAACCGAAUAGGGGAGCCGUAGGGAAACCGAGUCUUAACUGGGCGAAUAGUUGCAAGGUAUAGACCCGAAACCCGGUGAUCUAGCCAUGGGCAGGUUGAAGGUUGGGUAACACUAACUGGAGGACCGAACCGACUAAUGUUGAAAAAUUAGCGGAUGACUUGUGGCUGGGGGUGAAAGGCCAAUCAAACCGGGAGAUAGCUGGUUCUCCCCGAAAGCUAUUUAGGUAGCGCCUCGUGAACUCAUCUUCGGGGGUAGAGCACUGUUUCGGCUAGGGGGUCAUCCCGACUUACCAAACCGAUGCAAACUCCGAAUACCGAAGAAUGUUAUCACGGGAGACACACGGCGGGUGCUAACGUCCGUCGUGAAGAGGGAAACAACCCAGACCGCCAGCUAAGGUCCCAAAGUCAUGGUUAAGUGGGAAACGAUGUGGGAAGGCAUAGACAGCCAGGAUGUUGGCUUAGAAGCAGCCAUCAUUUAAAGAAAGCGUAAUAGCUCACUGGUCGAGUCGGCCUGCGCGGAAGAUGUAACGGGGCUAAACCAUGCACCGAAGCUGCGGCAGCGACGCUUAGGCGUUGUUGGGUAGGGGAGCGUUCUGUAAGCCGUUGAAGGUGACCUGUGAGGGUUGCUGGAGGUAUCAGAAGUGCGAAUGCUGACAUAAGUAACGAUAAUGCGGGUGAAAAACCCGCACGCCGGAAGACCAAGGGUUCCUGUCCAACGUUAAUCGGGGCAGGGUGAGUCGACCCCUAAGGCGAGGCUGAAAAGCGUAGUCGAUGGGAAACAGGUUAAUAUUCCUGUACUUGGUGUUACUGCGAAGGGGGGACGGAGAAGGCUAGGCUAGCCGGGCGACGGUUGUCCCGGUUUAAGCAUGUAGGCGGAGUGACUUGGUAAAUCCGGUUGCUUAUCAACGCUGAGGUGUGAUGACGAGCCACUACGGUGGUGAAGUAGUUGAUGCCAAGCUUCCAGGAAAAGCCUCUAAGCAUCAGGUAACAUUAAAUCGUACCCCAAACCGACACAGGUGGUCAGGUAGAGAAUACUCAGGCGCUUGAGAGAACUCGGGUGAAGGAACUAGGCAAAAUGGUGCCGUAACUUCGGGAGAAGGCACGCUGGCAUUAGGUAAAGAGACUUGCUCUCGGCGCUGAAGCCAGUCGCAGAUACCAGCUGGCUGCAACUGUUUAAUAAAAACACAGCACUGUGCAAACACGAAAGUGGACGUAUACGGUGUGACGCCUGCCCGGUGCUGGAAGGUUAAUUGAUGGGGUCAGCCGCAAGGCGAAGCUCUUGAUCGAAGCCCCAGUAAACGGCGGCCGUAACUAUAACGGUCCUAAGGUAGCGAAAUUCCUUGUCGGGUAAGUUCCGACCUGCACGAAUGGCGUAAUGAUGGCCAGGCUGUCUCCACCCGAGACUCAGUGAAAUUGAACUCGCUGUGAAGAUGCAGUGUACCCGCGGCAAGACGGAAAGACCCCGUGAACCUUUACUAUAGCUUGACACUGAACAUUGAGCCUUGAUGUGUAGGAUAGGUGGGAGGCAUUGAAGUGUGGACGCCAGUCUGCAUGGAGCCAACCUUGAAAUACCACCCUUUAAUGUUUGAUGUUCUAACUCGGCCCCGUAAUCCGGGGUGAGGACAGUGUCUGGUGGGUAGUUUGACUGGGGCGGUCUCCUCCCAAAGAGUAACGGAGGAGCACGAAGGUUAGCUAAUCACGGUCGGACAUCGUGAGGUUAGUGCAAAGGCAUAAGCUAGCUUGACUGCGAGAGUGACGGCUCGAGCAGGUACGAAAGUAGGUCUUAGUGAUCCGGUGGUUCUGAAUGGAAGGGCCAUCGCUCAACGGAUAAAAGGUACUCCGGGGAUAACAGGCUGAUACCGCCCAAGAGUUCAUAUCGACGGCGGUGUUUGGCACCUCGAUGUCGGCUCAUCACAUCCUGGGGCUGAAGUAGGUCCCAAGGGUAUGGCUGUUCGCCAUUUAAAGUGGUACGCGAGCUGGGUUUAGAACGUCGUGAGACAGUUCGGUCCCUAUCUGCCGUGGGCGUUGGAAGAUUGAGAGGGGCUGCUCCUAGUACGAGAGGACCGGAGUGGACGAAUCACUGGUGUUCGGGUUGUCAUGCCAAUGGCAUUGCCCGGUAGCUAAAUUCGGAAGAGAUAACCGCUGAAAGCAUCUAAGCGGGAAACUUGCCUCGAGAUGAGUCUUCCCUGGGGCUUUAAGCCCCCUGAAGGAACGUUAAAGACUAUGACGUUGAUAGGCUGGGUGUGUAAGUGCAGCGAUGCAUUGAGCUAACCAGUACUAAUGAUCCGUGAGGCUUAACCUU
rnacentral:rRNA from 1 species